UUGCUCCCUGAGGUUAGCGGCGGACGGGUGAGUAACACGUGGGUAACCUGCCUGUAAGAUUGGGAUAACUCCGGGAAACCGGAGCUAAUACCGGAUAACAUUUUGAACCGCAUGGUUCAAAAUUGAAAGACGGCUUUUGCUUGUCACUUACAAAGGGACCCGCGGCGCAUUACCUAGUUGGGGAGGUAACGGUUCACCAAGGCAACAAUGCGUAGCCAACCUGAAAGGGGGAUCGGCCACACGGGAACUGAAACACGGCCCAAACUCCUACGGAAGGCAGCAGAAGGAAAUCUUCCGCAUGGAACAAAAUUCUGACGAAGCAACGCCCCGGGAACAAUAAAGGCCUUCGGGUCGUAAAGUUCUGUUGUUAGGGAAAAACAAUUACCAAAUAACCUGCUGGUACUUUGACGGUACCUAACCAAAAGGCCACGGUUAACUCCUUGCCACCAGCCGCGGUAUUACUUAGGUGGAAAGCGUGGUCCGGAUUUAUUGGCCGUAACGCGCGCGCAGGCGGUUUCUUAGUCCGAUGUGAAGCAACGCUCACCGGUGGAGGUUCAUUGAAACUGGGGACUGGAUGCGAAGAGAAACUGAAUUCCACU
rnacentral:rRNA from 1 species